GCGGCUUCGGCUGUCACUUACAGAUGGGCCCGCGGUGCAUUAGCUAGUUGGUGGGGUAAAGGCCUACCAAGGCGACGAUGCAUAGCCGACCUGAGAGGGUGAUCGGCCACACUGGGACUGAGACACGGCCCAGACUCCUACGGGAGGCAGCAGUAGGGAAUCUUCCGCAAUGGACGAAAGUCUGACGGAGCAACGCCGCGUGUGUGAAGAAGGUUUUCGGAUCGUAAAGCACUGUUGUUAGAGAAGAACAAGGAUAAGAGUAACUGCUUGUCCCUUGACGGUAUCUAACCAGAAAGCCACGGCUAACUACGUGCCAGCAGCCGCGGUAAUACGUAGGUGGCAAGCGUUGUCCGGAAUUAUUGGGCGUAAAGCGCGCGCAGGCGGUUUCUUAAGUCUGAUGUGAAAGCCCCCGGCUUAACCGGGGAGGGUCAUUGGAAACUGGGAGACUUAGAGUGCAGAAGAGGAGAGUGGAAUUCCAUGUGUAGCGGUGAAAU
rnacentral:rRNA from 1 species